rnacentral:pre_miRNA from 1 species
GUGUGUGGAUGGUGUUCAGCACCAGGGACAGGUUUGUUUACCUGUGUGUUGAUGGCAUUCAUCAUAAUUACCAAGUGUGUUUACCU